rnacentral:rRNA from 1 species
UACGUAGGGUGCGAGCGUUAAUCGGAAUUACUGGGCGUAAAGCGUGCGCAGGCGGUGAUGUAAGACAGAUGUGAAAUCCCCGGGCUCAACCUGGGAACUGCAUUUGUGACUGCAUCGCUGGAGUGCGGCAGAAGGGGAUGGAAUUCCGCGUGUAGCAGUGAAAUGCGUAGAUAUGCGGAGGAACACCGAUGGCGAAGGCAAUCCCCUGGGCCUGCACUGACGCUCAUGCACGAAAGCGUGGGGAGCAAACAGG